rnacentral:lncRNA from 1 species
CACCCCUUAAUUCACAACGCUUGAUUACUUUUGAUUGAGAAGCCAUUUUUAAUACAGUAAUACUUUAAUUAUGUAUUACGGUAAUUAAAUUACCAUAACCCUUCAAAACCAACAACUCCGAAAGUUCUUAAUGAGUAGAAAUAUGAGAGAAUGCACCCCUUAAUUCACAACUCUCGAUUACUUUUGAUUGAGAAACCACUUCGUGAUCAGAGACCCCUCUUUCUGAAUCUUCUUAAAGCUCGAUUGCUUUUGUCUGAAAGGUUUCUCAAUUUCCAAUGAAUCGCAACUCUCCAACACCAAGAGCCCAAGAAUUUCUUCGUGGUUAGAAAGAUAUGUAGUUCCAUCAUUCAUUUCAAAGUUUUCAAUAAAUUUAGAUUGAUAAGCAACUACCGGAAUAUAGAACGCUUUUUUUGAAUCCGUCAUUAGUGGUUAAAAUCUUCUUCUCGGUAGAACAGUUCCACUCCUUCACUCUCCUUGAAACUCGCCAAACUUCACAUAACAAAAUGAGGUCUUGAAACUCCCAUCUUGUUUUCAACAACUUCCUUGAAACUUCCCAAACUUCAUAUACCAAGGUGAGGUCUUGAAACUCCCAUCUUGUUUUCAACAACGAUGACAUCUACAACACCGUCAAAUAGAUGGAAAGGGACUGCGACUAUGUCAACUCCACUUGAAGUAUAACUUCCAACCGCCCGACUGCAUACAUCUUUUAAAAACCUAAAAAUCAGAAAAGCAACUGAAUUACAGCAAAACCAACGCCAUUGUUACCUCAAUCACUCCGAGACCAUAAACCGAAUCCAAAGUACUCAAUUUCCAACCAUUAAUUAUCGUACUUUCGCAUAGUACGGGAAGAGAGGGGUAGCCUUGAUAUUAGCUUCCAUUUGAAGCUUUUCAGAGCAUUACGGUACUAAGAAUGCCGUAAAGUUACACUAUUACGAUAGUCUUUUUACCGUAAUAUAUUCAAAAUGUAUUACGAUAGAAAGACUACUGUAAAUGAUAUUUUCGUCUAAAAAAUCUCAAAAAUUAGAAGAAAAAAAAAAAAGUGUGGG